AUUGAACGCUGGCGGCAGGCCUAACACAUGCAAGUCGAGCGGAUGAAGGGAGCUUGCUCCUGGAUUCAGCGGCGGACGGGUGAGUAAUGCCUAGGAAUCUGCCUGGUAGUGGGGGAUAACGUCCGGAAACGGGCGCUAAUACCGCAUACGUCCUGAGGGAGAAAGUGGGGGAUCUUCGGACCUCACGCUAUCAGAUGAGCCUAGGUCGGAUUAGCUAGUUGGUGGGGUAAAGGCCUACCAAGGCGACGAUCCGUAACUGGUCUGAGAGGAUGAUCAGUCACACUGGAACUGAGACACGGUCCAGACUCCUACGGGAGGCAGCAGUGGGGAAUAUUGGACAAUGGUCGAAAGCCUGAACCAGCCAUGCCGCGUGUGUGAAGAAGGUCUUCGGAUUUUAAAGCACUUUAAGUUGGGAGGAAGGGCAGUAAGUUAAUACCUUGCUGUUUUGACGUUACCAACAGAAUAAGCACCGGCUAACUUCGUG
rnacentral:rRNA from 1 species